rnacentral:snRNA from 1 species
GAAGUGAGAGUGACCUGACUGUGACGUUUAUCACCCCAUUGGUCACCAGGGUUGAUUUGGCGGAUCUAGAUGGCUAGGUAGAUAUCUCCUUCCUUCUCAACACUUCAUGUGUGUCCCUCCUGAAGCCGCAUGCUCAGUUGAAAAGAAUGGCCACCCCUGAUGGAAGGGAUCGCUCCUCUCUCAAUACAGGUAGCUGCACUCCCUUGCUAAAAUCUCUAAACAAGAGUAUGAGUCUUGUAAUGGAUGAUACACUGUGUCAACUUGAGAAGUUUAGAAGUUUAACUGAGCAGCUCAGCAGUGGGGAAGGGUUCUCACUUUGCAAACAUCCUCACCCU